rnacentral:rRNA from 1 species
GAUGAACGCUGGCGGCGUGCCUAAUACAUGCAAGUCGAGCGAACGGACGAGAAGCUUGCUUCUCUGAUGUUAGCGGCGGACGGGUGAGUAACACGUGGAUAACCUACCUAUAAGACUGGGAUAACUUCGGGAAACCGGAGCUAAUACCGGAUAAUAUUUUGAACCGCAUGGUUCAAAAGUAAAAGACGGUCUUGCUGUCACUUAUAGAUGGAUCCGCGCUGCAUUAGCUAGUUGGUAAGGUAACGGCUUACCAAGGCAACGAUGCAUAGCCGACCUGAGAGGGUGAUCGGCCACACUGGAACUGAGACACGGUCCAGACUCCUACGGGAGGCAGCAGUAGGGAAUCUUCCGCAAUGGGCGAAAGCCUGACGGAGCAACGCCGCGUGAGUGAUGAAGGUCUUCGGAUCGUAAAACUCUGUUAUUAGGGAAGAACAUAUGUGUAAGUGACUGUGCACAUCUUGACGGUACCUAAUCAGAAAGCCACGGCUAACUACGUG